UACGUAGGGGGCAAGCGUUGUCCGGAUUUAUUGGGCGUAAAGAGCGUGUAGGCGGCCUGGUAGGUCAGCUGUGAAAACUCGAGGCUCAACCUCGAGACGCCGGUUGAAACCAUCAGGCUAGAGUCCGGAAGAGGAGAGUGGAAUUCCCGGUGUAGCGGUGAAAUGCGCAGAUAUCGGGAAGAACACCCGUGGCGAAGGCGGCUCUCUGGGACGGUACUGACGCUGAGGUGCGAAAGCGUGGGGAGCAAACAGG
rnacentral:rRNA from 1 species